rnacentral:rRNA from 1 species
GACGAACGCUGGCGGCGUGCUUAACACAUGCAAGUCGAGCGGUAAGGCCCGUUUCGGGGGUACACGAGCGGCGAACGGGUGAGUAACACGUGGGUGACCUGCCUUUAGCUCUGGGAUAAGCCUGGGAAACUGGGUCUAAAUACCGGAUAUGACUCCGCGGUGCAUGCUGUGGGGUGAAAGCCUUGUGCGGCUGGAGAUGGGCCCGCGGCCUAUCAGCUUGUUGGUGGGGUGAUGGCCUACCAAGGCGACGACGGGUAGCCGGCCUGAGA